GGAGAGAUGUCCGAGGGGUCGAAGGAGCACGAUUGGAAAUCGUGUAUACCUCUCAAGGGUAUCGUGGGUUCAAAUCCCACUCUCUCCGCCA
rnacentral:tRNA from 1 species